rnacentral:tRNA from 1 species
CGGGGUAUGGCGCAGCCCGGUAGCGCGCUUGCAUGGGGUGCAAGAGGCCCUCAGUUCAAAUCUGAGUACCCCGACAA